rnacentral:rRNA from 1 species
CACGUAGGGGCCAAGCGUUGUCCGGAUUUAUUGGGCGUAAAGAGCUCGUAGGCGGUUGGGUAAGUCGGGUGUGAAAACUCCAGGCUCAACUUGGAGACGCCACCCGAUACUGCUCCGACUUGAGUUCGGUAGGGGAGUGGGGAAUUCCUGGUGUAGCGGUGAAAUGCGCAGAUAUCAGGAGGAACACCGGUGGCGAAGGCGCCACUCUGGGCCGAAACUGACGCUGAGGAGCGAAAGCGUGGGUAGCAAACAGG